rnacentral:rRNA from 1 species
GACGAACGCUGGCGGCGUGCUUAACACAUGCAAGUCGAACGAUGAAGCCGGAGCUUGCUCCGGUGGAUUAGUGGCGAACGGGUGAGUAACACGUGAGCAAUCUGCCCUUGACUCUGGGAUAACUGCGGGAAACUGUAGCUAAUACCGGAUACGACACCUUGGGGCAUCCCAGGGUGUGGAAAGAAUUUCGGUCAAGGAUGAGCUCGCGGCCUAUCAGCUAGUUGGUGAGGUAAUGGCUCACCAAGGCGACGACGGGUAGCCGGCCUGAGAGGGUGACCGGACACACUGGAACUGGGACACGGUCCAGACUCCUACGGGAGGCAGCAGUGGGGAAUAUUGCACAAUGGGCGAAAGCCUGAUGCAGCAACGCCGCGUGAGGGAGGAAGGCCUUCGGGUUGUAAACCUCUUUUAGCAGGGAAGAAGCGAAAGUGACGGUACCUGCAGAAAAAGCACCGGCUAACUACGUGCCAGCCGCCGCAGUAA